rnacentral:rRNA from 1 species
GGCUCAUUUUGAACGCUGGCGGCAGGCCUAACACAUGCAAGUCGAGCGGUAGCACAAGAGAGCUAGCUCUCUGGGUGACGAGCGGCGGACGGGUGAGUAAUGUCUGGGAAACUGCCUGAUGGAGGGGGAUAACUACUGGAAACGGUAGCUAAUACCGCAUGACGUCUUCGGACCAAAGUGGGGGACCUUCGGGCCUCACGCCAUCAGAUGUGCCCAGAUGGGAUUAGCUAGUAGGUGGGGUAAUGGCUCACCUAGGCGACGAUCUCUAGCUGGUCUGAGAGGAUGACCAGCCACACUGGAACUGAGACACGGUCCAGACUCCUACGGGAGGCAGCAGUGGGGAAUAUUGCACAAUGGGCGCAAGCCUGAUGCAGCCAUGCCGCGUGUAUGAAGAAGGCCUUCGGGUUGUAAAGUACUUUCAGCGAGGAGGAAGGCAUUAAGGUUAAUAACCUUAGUGAUUGACGUUACUCGCAGAAGAAGCACCGGCUAACUCCGUGCCAGCAGCCGCGGUAAUACGGAGGGUGCAAGCGUUAAUCGGAAUUACUGGGCGUAAAGCGCACGCAGGCGGUUGAUUAAGUCAGAUGUGAAAUCCCCGAGCUUAACUUGGGAACUGCAUUUGAAACUGGUCAGCUAGAGUCUUGUAGAGGGGGGUAGAAUUCCAGGUGUAGCGGUGAAAUGCGUAGAGAUCUGGAGGAAUACCGGUGGCGAAGGCGGCCCCCCUGGACAAAGACUGACGCUCAGGUGCGAAAGCGUGGGGAGCAAACAGGGAUUAGAUACCCUGGUAGUCCACGCUGUAAACGAUGUCGACUUGGAGGUUGUGCCCUUGAGGCGUGGCUUCCGGAGCUAACGCGUUAAGUCGACCGCCUGGGGAGUACGGCCGCAAGGUUAAAACUCAAAUGAAUUGACGGGGGCCCGCACAAGCGGUGGAGCAUGUGGUUUAAUUCGAUGCAACGCGAAGAACCUUACCUACUCUUGACAUCCAGAGAAUUUGCUAGAGAUAGCUUAGUGCCUUCGGGAACUCUGAGACAGGUGCUGCAUGGCUGUCGUCAGCUCGUGUUGUGAAAUGUUGGGUUAAGUCCCGCAACGAGCGCAACCCUUAUCCUUUGUUGCCAGCACAUAAUGGUGGGAACUCAAAGGAGACUGCCGGUGAUAAACCGGAGGAAGGUGGGGAUGACGUCAAGUCAUCAUGGCCCUUACGAGUAGGGCUACACACGUGCUACAAUGGCAUAUACAAAGAGAAGCGAACUCGCGAGAGCAAGCGGACCUCAUAAAGUAUGUCGUAGUCCGGAUUGGAGUCUGCAACUCGACUCCAUGAAGUCGGAAUCGCUAGUAAUCGUAGAUCAGAAUGCUACGGUGAAUACGUUCCCGGGCCUUGUACACACCGCCCGUCACACCAUGGGAGUGGGUUGCAAAAGAAGUAAGUAGCUUAACCUUCGGGAGGGCGCUUACCA